rnacentral:rRNA from 1 species
UACGUAGGGGGCAAGCGUUGUCCGGAUUUAUUGGGCGUAAAGCGCGUGUAGGCGGCCCGGUAAGUCCGCUGUGAAAGUCGGGGGCUCAACCCUCGAAUGCCGGUGGAUACUGUCGGGCUAGAGUGCGGAAGAGGCGAGUGGAAUUCCUGGUGUAGCGGUGAAAUGCGCAGAUAUCAGGAGGAACACCAAUUGCGAAGGCAGCUCGCUGGGACGUGACUGACGCUGAGACGCGAAAGCGUGGGGAUCAAACAGG